GGAUAUGAGGGCGAUCUGGCUGUGACAUCUCACCCCAUUGAUCACCAGGGUUGAUUCGGCUCAUCUGGCUGGCUAGGCGGGUGUCCCCUUCCUCCCUCACCGCUCCAUGUGCGUCCCUCCUGAAGCUGCGCGCUUGGUAGAAAAGGACGACCACCCCCGAUAGAGGAGGACGGUUUCCUUGGUCAAGGGUAUAGAAGUAGCUGCGCUCGCCUGGUAGAAACUUCAUACAAGCUCUCAAGAAUCAGAUCCGUGCAUUAAAACUUAAGUACUUCAAGUUUUCAGUGAUUAUGACAUUAUAAAUUUGUAUUUCUG
ensembl:misc_RNA 7SK 7SK RNA